GACGAACGCUGGCGGCGUGCCUAAUACAUGCAAGUCGAGCGCAGGAAACUGACGGAACUCUUCGGAGGGAAGGCAGUGGAAUGAGCGGCGGACGGGUGAGUAACACGUAAGGAACCUGCCUCAAGGAUUGGGAUAACUCCGAGAAAUCGGAGCUAAUACCGGAUAGUUCAACGGACCGCAUGGUCCGCUGAUGAAAGGCGCUCCGGCGUCACCUUGAGAUGGCCUUGCGGUGCAUUAGCUAGUUGGUGGGGUAACGGCCCACCAAGGCGACGAUGCAUAGCCGACCUGAGAGGGUGAUCGGCCACACUGGGACUGAGACACGGCCCAGACUCCUACGGGAGGCAGCAGUAGGGAAUCUUCCACAAUGGACGAAAGUCUGAUGGAGCAACGCCGCGUGAGUGAUGAAGGUUUUCGGAUCGUAAAACUCUGUUGUAAGGGAAGAACACGUACGAGAGGGAAUGCUCGUACCUUGACGGUACCUUACGAGAAAGCCACGGCUAACUACGUGCCAGCAGCCGCCGUAAGAC
rnacentral:rRNA from 1 species